rnacentral:tRNA from 1 species
AUCCCUGUAGCGCAAUGGAUAGCACGUUGGACUUCUAAUCCAAAGGUCGUGGGCUCGAAUCCUACCUGGGAUG